UUGAGCUAUGACAACGGAAUUCCUUGAUAAUGGAAGUUCUAUUUCUGGUACUUUCUCACUUUCUCACCAUGGAGUUGCUGACACCCUAUUCUACUGGCAUUUGUAUGGUGUAUGUGUUCGAUUAUCAGUCAAGCUUAAGGAUCGACGUGCAGAUGCUAUCUCCAUUCGUUGUAUAAAAGCUCAGGUGGCAGAGCACCCCACUGGAUCUCAGCGCUCCGAACCAUUGACAGAGCAAGCCGGGAUACUGUCGUGAAUGCUGAUCCUUAUUAUUACCAGAGUGAAAAGAAGCUGUAGAGCUUGCAAAAGGUCUUUCCUGUAGAUGUGAGUACUGCUGGGAUGUCUGUUGGACUUCAACAAAUACAGUAAAGACUUAAAAAUUACCACUUGUCUGGGAUGAGAAGAAUUUAUUGGGUGGGAUCUAACUGAAUGAUUGUUUUCUUGAGAUAGCCUGAAUGUGAAUGAAAAUUAUUUUUAUUGAGGUUCUUGGGAUAUGUUUUAGCCAAAAGUACUUAUCAUUUCAUUUCACUAUAACUGAGUCAAUCUGGC
rnacentral:lncRNA from 1 species